rnacentral:tmRNA from 1 species
GGGGCUGACCGGUUUUGACAGCAUAGUUCUUUGUAAGUAAGCAUGUAGUGCGUUGCGUAAUUAGCACUUGAAUAUGAAUACGAAACUUUUAAAUGGCAAUACUCAGUAUGCCAUGGCUGCCUAAUCAGUGAUUAAGUAGUCAUUAGGGCCGACCGGAGAGGCUUGCCUGAUGCCUUUCCCUCCGCCGACUCAAAAAUAAAUUGGGCUGCUCUUCAGAAAUGAUGUGAUCUGAAGCUAAGAAUAUCCAUCUAAGGAAUAAAUUGGUUUGUUCUGUUCCGGUUUGUUCCCUACAAUUAAUUCAGAAAUAAACAUGUAGAAAGCUUACGGCGAAUAUGUUUGGACCAGGGUUCGAUUCCCUGCAGCUCCACUA